AGCGAACGCUGACGGCAGGCUUAACACAUGCAAGUCGAGCGGGCCCUUCGGGGUCAGCGGCAGACGGGUGAGUAACACGUGGGAACGUACCCUUUGGUUCGGAAUAACGCUGGGAAACUAGCGCUAAUACCGGAUACGCUCUUUUGGGGAAAGGCUUGCUGCCGCAGGAUCGGCCCGCGUCUGAUUAGCUAGUUGGUGGGGUAAUGGCCUACCAAGGCGACGAUGAGUAGCUGGUCUGAGAGGAUGAUCAGCCACACUGGGGCUGAGACACGGCCCAGACUCCUACGGAAGGCAGCAGUGGGGAAUAUUGGACAAUGGGCGCAAGCCUGAUCCAGCCAUGCCGCGUGAGUGAUGAAGGCCUUAGGGUUGUAAAGCUCUUUUGUCCGGGACGAUAAUGACGGUACCGGAAGAAUAAGCCCCGGCUAACUUCGUG
rnacentral:rRNA from 1 species